CAGGUGUCCCACACUGCAUUGCCUUCCAGUGCCCGGGCAAGGGCGGGGGGCCACGCGGUGAGGACCCCAUGCAGGGCCCAGGGCUGUGGGAGGCUUGACAACACUCCCUCUGCAGCCAUCCAGGCGCUGGCACAGCGGCUCUCGUGGCUCCCUCAACACUGGCUGAUGUCUGUCUUCUCUCUGCGUCCUGGCUGCCCACACCCUGCCCAGCAGCUGUUCCCACUUGCAGGCCCUUCCCAUCGACGUGCCUUUCGCAGCUCUGCUGGAGCCUCAAGACUUCUGCAAGGUCAGGCUGCCGUCAGUCUCAGGCUGCUUGCUCCGAGAAGCUUCUCUGCGAUGGUGGGAAGGAUGCUGGCUCUGGAGCUGGUCAGACCCAGGUUCCAACUCUGAUUUACUAGAUGCGUGAUUUGGGGGAAGCUAUUUAGACUCUUGAGGCCUCAGUCUUCUCUAAAAUGGGCUCAUUAAAGCAGCUGCCACACUUGCUUGUUUUGAGGAUUUAAGGAGCUGAAAUGCAAUGCCUGGUGAGCAGUUCACACGGUCCCGUCCCAGAAUGGAAGCCUGCCCUCCGUGAGACCUGAACAUCUAUCCUGGGAGCCCUCCAAACCAACCUGCAGGGCACGUGAUGGACGAGAGAUGGGCCAGCUCGGUGUCCAGGGAGAUGAGCUUUACCCACGGGCUGGCAGUGUUGCACGAGGGGAACAACGGAGUCAUUUUUAGCCGGCUGGUUCGGGGGAGCCUUUGAGCGGCCCCUGGAAUCCGCAAGGAUCAACAGGAGCCUGCGGGGCUGAGCUGUGUUUGAUUUAAAAUUGGAAACAGGAGGCAGAAGAGUGGCUUUAUAUAGCCUGGGAGGUCCAGGAGCCCUGCACUGAUUUAUGACAGGCCUGCCGAAAGCACAUGGAAGCCGAGCACUGAGCACACGUCCAGUGAAAGACACAAGGUCCCUGGAGAUGACGUCAGUGCUUCUUUUGGCAGAUGGGACCAUGAUGCACAUCUGAGCCUCUGAGGUGACAACGGGCUUGGCUCUCUGCUCAUGGC